GAUGAACGCUAGCGACAGGCUUAACACAUGCAAGUCGAGGGGCAGCACAGGUAGCAAUACCGGGUGGCGACCGGCGCACGGGUGAGUAACGCGUAUGCAACUUGCCUAUCAGAGGGGGAUAACCCGGCGAAAGUCGGACUAAUACCGCAUGAAGCAGGGGCCCCGCAUGGGGAUAUUUGCUAAAGAUUCAUCGCUGAUAGAUAGGCAUGCGUUCCAUUAGGCAGUUGGCGGGGUAACGGCCCACCAAACCGACGAUGGAUAGGGGUUCUGAGAGGAAGGUCCCCCACAUUGGUACUGAGACACGGACCAAACUCCUACGGGAGGCAGCAGUGAGGAAUAUUGGUCAAUGGCCGAGAGGCUGAACCAGCCAAGUCGCGUGAGGGAUGAAGGUUCUAUGGAUCGUAAACCUCUUUUAUAAGGGAAUAAAGUGCGGGACGUGUCCCGUUUUGUAUGUACCUUAUGAAUAAGGAUCGGCUAACUCCGUGCCAGCAGCCGCGGUAAUACGGAGGAUCCGAGCGUUAUCCGGAUUUAUUGGGUUUAAAGGGUGCGUAGGCGGCCUUUUAAGUCAGCGGUGAAAGUCUGUGGCUCAACCAUAGAAUUGCCGUUGAAACUGGGGGGCUGGAGUAUGUUUGAGGCAGGCGGAAUGCGUGGUGUAGCGGUGAAAUGCAUAGAUAUCACGCAGAACCCCGAUUGCGAAGGCAGCCUGCCAAGCCAUUACUGACGCUGAUGCACGAAAGCGUGGGGAUCAAACAGGAUUAGAUACCCUGGUAGUCCACGCAGUAAACGAUGAUCACUAGCUGUUUGCGAUACACUGUAAGCGGCACAGCGAAAGCGUUAAGUGAUCCACCUGGGGAGUACGCCGGCAACGGUGAAACUCAAAGGAAUUGACGGGGGCCCGCACAAGCGGAGGAACAUGUGGUUUAAUUCGAUGAUACGCGAGGAACCUUACCCGGGUUUGAACGCAUUCGGACCGAGGUGGAAACACCUUUUCUAGCAAUAGCCGUUUGCGAGGUGCUGCAUGGUUGUCGUCAGCUCGUGCCGUGAGGUGUCGGCUUAAGUGCCAUAACGAGCGCAACCCUUGCCACUAGUUACUAACAGGUAAAGCUGAGGACUCUGGUGGGACUGCCAGCGUAAGCUGCGAGGAAGGCGGGGAUGACGUCAAAUCAGCACGGCCCUUACAUCCGGGGCGACACACGUGUUACAAUGGCGUGGACAAAGGGAAGCCACCUGGCGACAGGGAGCGAAUCCCCAAACCACGUCUCAGUUCGGAUCGGAGUCUGCAACCCGACUCCGUGAAGCUGGAUUCGCUAGUAAUCGCGCAUCAGCCAUGGCGCGGUGAAUACGUUCCCGGGCCUUGUACACACCGCCCGUCAAGCCAUGGGAGCCGGGGGUACCUGAAGUCCGUAACCGCGAGGAUCGGCCUAGGGUA
rnacentral:rRNA from 1 species